rnacentral:rRNA from 1 species
GCCUGCCCAGUGACUAUAUGUUCAACGGCCGCGGUAUUCUGACCGUGCCAAGGUAGCGCAAUCACUUGCCCUUUAAAUGGGGGCCCGUAUGAAUGGCACCACGAGGGCUAAUCUGUCUCCUUUUUCAAGUCAAUGAAAUUGAUCUCUCCGUGCAGAAGCGGAGAUAAAUACAUAAGACGAGAAGACCCUGUGGAGCUUUAGAUACUAAGACCGAUCCCGUCCCCGCCCGACAUAAACAUGGGCCAAAUUAAGGAAAACCAUCUGACUAUCUUUGGUUGGGGCGACCGCGGGGAUUAACAAAACCCCCACGUAGACCGGAGGCAUAAUGCACCUAAAACCAAGAGUUACCACUCUAACUAACAGAACUUCUGACUAAAAAAUGAUCCGACAAAGUCGAUCAACGGACCGAGUUACCCCAGGGAUAACAGCGCAAUCCCCUUUAAGAGUUCACAUCGACAAGGGGGUUUACGACCUCGAUGUUGGAUCAGGACAUCCCAAUGGCGCAGCAACUAUUAAGGGUUCGUUUGUUCAACGAUUAAAGUCCUACGUGAU